AAGUCGUAACAAGGUUUCCGUAGGUGAACCUGCGGAAGGAUCAUUAUUGAAUAUUCUUGAUGGGUUGUAGCUGGCUCUUCGGGGCAUGUGCACACUUGUCUUGACUUUAUUCAUCCACCUGUGCACCUUUUGUAGUCUUGUGGGUUGAGAGCAGUCGACUAUCGGAUGGCUAUGGCCUUUCCGGACAUGAGGAAUGCUGAGUGCGAAAGCAUAUAGCUCUUCUCAAAUGACUUGCAAAACUCUCCCUCGAGUACUAUGUAUUCAUAUACCACAUAGUAUGUUGUCGAAUGUGAUCAAUGGGCCUAUGUGCCUAUAAAAUCAUAUACAACUUUCAGCAACGGAUCUCUUGGCUCUC
rnacentral:misc_RNA from 1 species